CAAAUUAAAGCUAAAUAAGCAUCAUUAUUUACAUUAAUGAUAUGGUUGUGAAACUCAGCCUGAUUUGA
rnacentral:tRNA from 1 species